rnacentral:lncRNA from 1 species
AUAUUUAAUUAACGUAGAUGUUACAAAUAAUUGUGAAAAUAAACUAAAAGAAGAAUAAUAUCAUCAAUUUAUGACUUUGGAGAAAUUAUGUCUCCUGAUUUCUCCUGAUUUUUAGGACAUGUGUCUCCUGUUUUUUCAAAUUGGACCUGGCAACACUGCCUGCCGUCGCCAUCUUUCAUUUCCUCUCGUCUCGAGCGUUGCGUGUCUGUUCUUGCUGUAAUAAAGUGCUGUAUCAAAAAAUGGAUCACAUUGAAGACCAUGAUCAUGCAGGUUGUUUUUGUUGCUGCUUCAUCUUGGACAAGUUGGCAACCAGCAACAAGACCCGGCCUGCGAGCAAUGACCAGUGAAAUCCGCAACGGACCUAUAGGAAGCUAUCCCUGUUCCUGCACUAUCAUCGGGCGAGGUGAACAUCGCUGGUCCAUGUGAUGCGGCGGAUCUAUCUCGAAGUUAACAAAAUGGUUGUAUUUGUGGCGCAGCGCUCUGCUACUGCCACGGGCUGUUCUCCGACUGGAGACCCACGUGUCAGCUCGACAGUGUCGCCUCCUUGCUUCGCCCCGGUGGAAUUUGGUAUGUCACCUGAGGCGAGGAGGAUUUGAGUAGGUGCAUAUGCGAACGGCCUAAGUGACGCCUCUUCAGCGCGACGGGUGUAUUCUCCUCAAAUAUGAGAAGGAGCUCGGGUCCUGUGGGCUCUUAACCGUCGUAGUUUUCACGCAGUGUUUUAAAAUAGUGUUUGUGUGUAUUAUGGUAACAUACGUUCAAUUCAAAUGUGUAACACUACAUAACUAUACAUAGGUAUCACUUUUCAUUAGUAUGGUGAUGUUUUUCCGGCCUGAAGAAAAAACUUCAAAUAAAAUAAUUAUGUUGUCUGUA